UGGGGAAUAUUGGACAAUGGGGGAAACCCUGAUCCAGCCAUGCCGCGUGUGUGAUGAAGGCCUUCGGGUUGUAAAGCACUUUCGCACGUGACGAUGAUGACGGUAACGUGAGAAGAAGCCCCGGCUAACUUCGUGCCAGCAGCCGCGGUAAUACGAAGGGGGCAAGCGUUGUUCGGAAUUACUGGGCGUAAAGGGUGCGUAGGCGGUGCGUUAAGUUAGAUGUGAAAGCCCUGGGCUCAACCCGGGAAUUGCAUUUGAUACUGGCGCGCUCGAAUCCAGGAGAGGUUGGUGGAAUUCCCAGUGUAGAGGUGAAAUUCGUAGAGAUUGGGAAGAACACCGGUGGCGAAGGCGGCCAACUGGACUGGUAUUGACGCUGAGGCACGAAAGCGUGGGGAGCAAACAGGAUUAGAUACCCUGGUAGUCCACGCCGUAAACUAUGUGUGCUAGCCGUUGGGGCUCUUAGAGCUUCGGUGGCGUCGCUAACGCUUUAAGCGCACCGCCUGGGGAGUACGGUCGCAAGAUUA
rnacentral:rRNA from 1 species